rnacentral:rRNA from 1 species
UUAAGAUGUAAAAAAUGGAGGAUUAAUAGUUAUGUUCUUUAAACUUAAAAAAAUUGGCGGUAUUUAAAUCUAAUUAGGGGAAUUUGUCUUUUAAAUGAUAAUCCGCAAGAAACCUUACUUUAAUUUAUUUAAUUUGUUUAUUGCCGUUAACAGAUUAUUUUAUAAGAAAAAUAAAUUUUCAUAUUUUAUUAUAAUAAAAUAUUUCAGGUCAUUAUGUAGUUUAUAUUAAAGUUAAGAUGAAUUACAUUAAAUUAAUAUUUAUGGAGAUUUAAUUGAAAAAUUAAAUUGAAAAUGGACUUAAUAGUAAAAUAAAAUAUUAUAUUUAUUUGAAUUUAGAAUUAAAUAUGU